rnacentral:rRNA from 1 species
AUUGAACGCUGGCGGCAGGCUUAACACAUGCAAGUCGAGCGGGGUGAUGGUGCUUGCACUAUCACUUAGCGGCGGACGGGUGAGUAAUGCUUAGGAAUCUGCCUAUUAGUGGGGGACAACAUCUCGAAAGGGAUGCUAAUACCGCAUACGUCCUACGGGAGAAAGCAGGGGAUCACUUGUGACCUUGCGCUAAUAGAUGAGCCUAUGUCGGAUUAGCUAGUCGGUGGGGUAAAGGCCUACCAAGGCGACGAUCUGUAGCGGGUCUGAGAGGAUGAUCCGCCACACUGGGACUGAGACACGGACCAGACUCCUACGGGAGGCAGCAGUGGGGAAUAUUGGACCAUGGGGGGAACCCUGAUCCAGCCAUGCCGCGUGUGUGAAGAAGGCCUUAUGGUUGUAAAGCACUUUAAGCGAGGAGGAGGCUCUUUUGGUUAAUACCCAAGAUGAGUGGACGUUACUCGCAGAAUAAGCACCGGCUAACUCUGUGCCAGCCGCCGCGGUAA